rnacentral:rRNA from 1 species
GAUGAACGCUGACAGAAUGCUUAACACAUGCAAGUCAUUGGCGAAGCUGCGCUUGCGCAGUCUAGCCAAGGCGGACGGGUGAGUAACGCGUAAGGAACUUGCCCUGCAGACAGGGAUAACAGACGGAAACGACUGAUAACACCUGGUAUUGUCAGGCUGGCGCAUGCCGGCCUGAUGAAAGGAGACGCUGCAGGAGAGCCUUGCGUCCUAUUAGCUAGUUGGUGGGGUAACGGCCCACCAAGGCGGGGAUAGGUAGCCGGCCUGAGAGGGUGAACGGCCACAAGGGGACUGAGAUACGGCCUUUACUCCGACGGGGGGCAGCAGGGGGGAAUAUUGGACAAGGGGGGCAACCCUGAUCAAGAAUUUCUGUGGGCAAAAAAAGGGUUUUCGGAUUGUAAAGUGCUUUCAGCAGGGAAGAAGAAAGUGACGGGACCGGGAAAAGAAGCGCCGGCAAAAUACGU